rnacentral:tRNA from 2 species
AAUUGUUGGGAUAGCUCAGUUGGUAGAGC